UACGUAGGGGGCGAGCGUUGUCCGGAUUUAUUGGGCGUAAAGAGCUCGUAGGCGGUUUGGCAAGUCGGGUGUGAAAACUCCGGGCUCAACUCGGAGACGGCACUCGAUACUGCUAUGACUCGAGUCCGGUAGGGGAGUGCGGAAUUCCUGGUGUAGCGGUGAAAUGCGCAGAUAUCAGGAGGAACACCGGUGGCGAAGGCGGCACGCUGGGCCGGUACUGACGCUGAGGAGCGAAAGCGUGGGGAGCGAACAGG
rnacentral:rRNA from 1 species